rnacentral:rRNA from 1 species
GACGAACGCUGGCGGCGUGCUUAACACAUGCAAGUCGAACGGUGAAGGGAUCAGCUUGCUGGUUCUGGACGAGUGGCGAACGGGUGAGUAACACGUGAGUAACCUGCCCCCUUCUUCUGGAUAACCGCAUGAAAGUUUGGCUAAUACGGGAUAUUCUGCGCCUGCUGCAUGGUGGGUGGGGGAAAGAUAUUGUUUCGGUGGGGGGUGGGCUCGCGGCCUAUCAGCUUGUUGGUGGGGUGAUGGCCUACCAAGGCGGUGACGGGUAGCCGGCCUGAGAGGGUGGACGGUGACAAUGGGACUGAGACACGGACCAGACUCCGACGGGAGGGAGCAGUGUGGAAUAUUGCACAGUGGGCGCAAGCCUGAUGCAGAGACGCCGCGUGAGGGAUGGAGGCCUUCGGGUUGUGAACCUCUUUGGCCAGUGAAGCAGGCCUGUACCAUGUGGGUGGGUUGACGGUAGCUGGAUAAGAAGCGCCGGCUAACUACGUG